GUCGAGCGAUCAAUAGGAGCUUGCUCCUGUUGGUUAGCGGCGGACGGGUGAGUAACACGUGGGCAACCUGCCUGUAAGACUGGGAUAACACCGGGAAACCGGUGCUAAUACCGGAUAAUUCUUUCUCUCACAUGAGAGGAAGCUGAAAGUCGGUUUCGGCUGACACUUACAGAUGGGCCCGCGGCGCAUUAGCUAGUUGGUGAGGUAACGGCUCACCAAGGCGACGAUGCGUAGCCGACCUGAGAGGGUGAUCGGCCACACUGGGACUGAGACACGGCCCAGACUCCUACGGGAGGCAGCAGUAGGGAAUCUUCCGCAAUGGACGAAAGUCUGACGGAGCAACGCCGCGUGAGUGAUGAAGGCCUUCGGGUCGUAAAACUCUGUUGUCAGGGAAGAACAAGUAUCGGAGUCACUGCCGGUACCUUGACGGUACCUGACCAGAAAGCCACGGCUAACUACGUGCCAGCAGCCGCGGUAAUACGUAGGUGGCAAGCGUUGUCCGGAAUUAUUGGGCGUAAAGCGCGCGCAGGCGGUCCUUUAAGUCUGAUGUGAAAGCCCACGGCUCAACCGUGGAGGGUCAUUGGAAACUGGGGGACUUGAGUGCAGAAGAGGAAAG
rnacentral:rRNA from 1 species